UAAGCCCAGAUUAGGUAGUAACAACCAUUUGAGUCUGGGAUUUCUGAAUGGGGAAACCCACUUACAUAAGUAAGUAUCCUUACCUGAAUACAUAGGGUAAGGAGGCGAACCGGGGGAACUGAAACAUCUAAGUACCCCGAGGAAAAGAAAUCAACCGAGAUUCCGAAAGUAGCGGCGAGCGAAAUUGGAUUAGCCCUUAAGCUUUACACGCGUUAGACGAACGGUCUGGAAAGUCCGACGAUACAGGGUGAUAGUCCCGUAGUUGACGACGUGUGUUCAGUGAAAUCGAGUAGGGCGGGACACGUGAUAUCCUGUCUGAAUAUGGGGGGACCAUCCUCCAAGGCUAAAUACUACUGACUGACCGAUAGUGAACCAGUACCGUGAGGGAAAGGCGAAAAGUGUGACUGCGUACCUUUUGUAUAAUGGGUCAGCGACUUAUAUUCAGUGGCAAGGUUAACCAUCUAGGGGAGCCGUAGGGAAACCGAGUCUUAACUGGGCGUUCAGUCUCUGGAUAUAGACCCGAAACCAGGUGAUCUAGCCAUGGGCAGGUUGAAGGUUGAGUAACAUCAACUGGAGGACCGAACCGACUAAUGUUGAAAAAUUAGCGGAUGACUUGUGGCUAGGGGUGAAAGGCCAAUCAAACCUGGAGAUAGCUGGUUCUCCCCGAAAGCUAUUUAGGUAGCGCCUCGGACGAAUACUACUGGGGGUAGAGCACUGUUAAGGCUAGGGGGUCAUCCCGACUUACCAACCCUUUGCAAACUCCGAAUACCAGUAAGUACUAUCCGGGAGACACACGGCGGGUGCUAACGUCCGUCGUGGAGAGGGAAACAACCCAGACCGCCAGCUAAGGUCCCAAAUUACUACUAAGUGGGAAACGAUGUGGGAAGGCUCAGACAGCCAGGAUGUUGGCUUAGAAGCAGCCAUCAUUUAAAGAAAGCGUAAUAGCUCACUG
rnacentral:rRNA from 1 species